rnacentral:rRNA from 1 species
GCAUUAUACCGCGAAACUGCGAAUGGCUCAUUAUAUAAGUUAUCGUUUAUUUCGAUAGUACCUUACUACAUGGAUAACCGUGGUAAUUCUAGAGCUAAUACAUGCUAAAAAUCCCAACUUCGGAAGGGAUGUAUUUAUUAGAUUAAAAACCAAUGCCCUUCGGGGCUCACUGGUGAUUCAUAAUAACUUCUCGAAUCGCAUGGCCUUGCGCCGGCGAUGGUUCAUUCAAAUUUCUUCCCUAUCAACUUUCGAUGUUUGGGUAUUGGCCAAACAUGGUUGCAACGGGUAACGGAGGGUUAGGGCUCGACCCCGGAGAAGGAGCCUGAGAAACGGCUACUACAUCCAAGGAAGGCAGCAGGCGCGCAAAUUACCCAAUCCCGACACGGGGAGGUAGUGACAAUAAAUACUGAUACAGGGCUCUUUUGGGUCUUGUAAUUGGAAUGAGUACAAUUUAAAUCCCUUAACGAGGAACAAUUGGAGGGCAAGUCUGGUGCCAGCAGCCGCGGUAAUUCCAGCUCCAAUAGCGUAUAUUAAAGUUGUUGUGGUUAAAAAGCUCGUAGUUGAACCUUGGGCCUGGCUGGCCGGUCCGCCUCACCGCGUGUACUGGUCCGGCCGGGCCUUUCCCUCUGUGGAACCCCAUGCCCUUCACUGGGCGUGGCGGGGAAACAGGACUUUUACUGUGAAAAAAUUAGAGUGCUCCAGGCAGGCCUAUGCUCGAAUACAUUAGCAUGGAAUAAUAGAAUAGGACGUGUGGUUCUAUUUUGUUGGUUUCUAGGACCGCCGUAAUGAUUAAUAGGGACAGUCGGGGGCAUCAGUAUUCAAUUGUCAGAGGUGAAAUUCUUGGAUUUAUUGAAGACUAACUACUGCGAAAGCAUUUGCCAAGGAUGUUUUCAUUAAUCAGGAACGAAAGUUAGGGGAUCGAAGACGAUCAGAUACCGUCGUAGUCUUAACCAUAAACUAUGCCGACUAGGUAACCUUUAAAUGUUAUUUUUUGACCCGUUCGGCACCUUACGAGAAAUCAAAGUG